CCUACGGGCGGCAGCAGUGGGGAAUAUUGGACAAUGGGGGGAACCCUGAUCCAGCGACGCCGCGUGAGUGAAGAAGUAUUUCGGUAUGUAAAGCCCUAUCAGCAGGGAAGAAAGAAAUGACGGUACCUGACUAAGAAGCCCCGGCUAACUACGUGCAAGCAGCCGCGGUAAUACGUAGGGGGCAAGCGUUAUCCGGAUUUACUGGGUGUAAAGGGAGCGUAGACGGCGAUGCAAGUCUGAAGUGAAAGGCGGGGGCCCAACCCCCGGACUGCUUUGGAAACUGUAUGGCUGGAGUGCAGGGGAGGUAAGUGGAAUUCCUGGUGUAGCGGUGAAAUGCGUAGAUAUUAGGAGGAACACCAGUGGCGAAGGCGGCUUACUGGACUGUAACUGACGUUGAGGCUCGAAAGCGUGGGGAGCAAACAGGAUUAGAUACCCCUGUAGUC
rnacentral:rRNA from 1 species